rnacentral:rRNA from 1 species
GUCGAACGGAUUAUUCUUUAUAGCUUGCUAUGGGGACAAUUAGUGGCAGACGGGUGAGUAAUGCAUAGGAAUCUACCUAGUAGUAUAGGAUAGCCACUAGAAGUGGUGGGUAAUACUGUAUAAUCCCUGCGGGGGAAAGAUUUAUCGCUACAUGAUGAGCCUAUGUUAGAUUAGCUAGUUGGUGGGGUAAAAGCCUACCAAGGCAGUGAUCUAUAGCUGGUCUGAGAGGAUGAUCAGCCACACUGGAACUGAGACACGGUCCAGACUCCUACGGGAGGCAGCAGUGGGGAAUAUUGGACAAUGGGCGAAAGCCUGAUCCAGCUAUGCCGCGUGAGUGAGGAAGGCCUUAGGGUUGUAAAACUCUUUCAGUAGGGAAGAUAAUGACGGUACCUAUAA